UUUGGUGAAGAACGAACACCUGAAUAAAUAAAUACAAACUUCAGCGCUUAAAUUAAACCGGUUUAAAAAUGCCUUUUUAAAACCGUUAAGUCUUAAUAUUGACGUAGAACCUUGCAUUACUGAAUAGGUGGCACAAAAAGAGGAAAUGUGACGCCUGAAGAACAAAACAUCGAUCAAAAGCGAUCACGUUCAGAACAUUCCAGUUGUGCAUGUAUUAUUCACUGUGCUAACGAUGAUACGGAACUAGUCAGACCAAAAGAUGAGGUGUCCUGAAGUACACUUGUAAGAGGCGAGCAGCUGCUGUUCGUUAACACGAACACCUUGAUAUUGCUGAGACAUUAAAUCAAGGAGAAAUCCCAACAUUUACUAUCACAUAAAAUGUCGUAGCGGGUUUACCAUGAGAAAGCUCUUGGAAACAAUUUCAAAGCAGCAAGCUUAACUGACGACCAACAACCAACGACAACUAAGAGGACCUCGAUCCGAGAGUCCCCUACCACCAGCACAACUUACGAACAUGUUUGCAUAUUCUGUGUAUCUUUAAGGGAACAAGAAAUCGGGAACCCUUGGAACAAUGUAGAAAUUUGCAUGGAGAUCAUUCGAUUAGAAAAUCAGCCCUGGAAAAGAAGGACAGCAGGAUUCUCGCAAUUGCGUCGCGUGAAAUCGUAACAGCUGAACCUUGUUACACAGAACAUGCUACAAGGGCUAUACUAGGGCUGAGGCAAGUCCCACUGGGGCUUCCGAUGGCUGUGGUGAAUCGCUAGAAGAUGAGUAUGCUUAUCUCAAGUCAGAAGCUUACCAGAUGCUUACAUCAGAUGAUUACAUCAGAUCAGAUGUUCCUGCAAACGAAAAAAAAGUCAGAUUGACUGAAAUGACAGAACUACUUAUAUCAUACGUAUUUAACGUCUUUGGUUGUUGAAGAAAUCAAGUCAUCCACAAAGAAGCACACCAGACAGAAUCUCCAGGUAGAAUUUGGCGAUGUCCUCCUCUUUGAAAAUUUGUUAGAAACCACCAGUGUCUUCAUAGUUCCCGCCAAUUUGACACACUUCAUGUG